CCCUUCCCACUAAGCCUCUAAGCCAGCUGCCCAGACAGCAGAAGGAGAUAUGAACAGGGGAAGGUGACUCGAGGUCACAACCCAGUGUGUCAACCUUCCCAGGUUGCAGGCCUUUAAGAGCCUUCGUGUCUGAUCCCUAGAAGUCUGUGCUUAAGGUUCUUCUUUUUUUCCAAGAAGAAAGAAGCAUUUUCCAAGAUCCAACAGGUUGGUCAACACUGGCAGACAUCCUCCAUUACAACUAAUGAUGGGACUCAAGCACUGGAGAGGCUUUUACUAAUUGAGCCACCAAGUAUCCCUAUGAAGCUAACUAUACCACAAACUCCACAUCAACUACUGGAAAUCUCCAACAUCAUUUGCAAGAGGUGUGGAGCUGCCUAUCAGUUGGGCUCACAUGUGAAAUAAUUUGUCACCAGUUCCCCACUACUGGGUCUUGUAUAUAAAACUCAAAUUAUACUGCA